GAUGAACGCUGGCGGCGUGCUUAACACAUGCAAGUCGAACGGAAAGGCCCAAGCUUGCUUGGGUACUCGAGUGGCGAACGGGUGAGUAACACGUGGGUGAUCUGCCCUGCACUUCGGGAUAAGCCUGGGAAACUGGGUCUAAUACCGGAUAGGACCACAUUUUGGAUGGUGUGGUGGAAAGUUUUUCGGUGUGGGAUGAGCUCGCGGACUAUCAGCUUGUUGGUGGGGUAAUGGCCUACCAAGGCGUCGACGGGUAGCCGGCCUGAGAGGGUGUACGGCCACAUUGGGACUGAGAUACGGCCCAGACUCCUACGGGAGGCAGCAGGGGGGAAUAUUGCACAAUGGGCGCAAGCCGGAUGCAGCGACGCCGCGUGGGGGAUGACGGCCUUCGGGUUGUAAACUCCUUUCGCUAGGGACGAAGCGUUAUGUGACGGUACCUGGAGAAGAAGCACCGGCUAACUACGUG
rnacentral:rRNA from 1 species